rfam:Toxocara canis scaffold16, whole genome shotgun sequence.
UAGCUCAGUGGUAGAGCUCUCGCCGCAUAAGCGGGAAGACCUGGGUUCGAUUCCCGG